GUCAUGUUGGUACACUGCGGGUUCAGGCUCCUGUUUGGUCGCCUCAGCUUCGGGCAGCUGGAAUUUCAGGAACUGGUUGGCCUUCUCAAAGCCGCCAUAGGGCAUGGCAGUCCUGUCAAACCGAGCCAGUCCUCCUGCUCCUCCUGCUCCUCCUGCUCCACCUGCACCACCUGCACCUUUGCUUCCGGGCUUUGGAGGAGGCACAGGGGCUCCUCCUACUCCUCCUGCUUGUGCCCCUCCGAAGUACAGAUGCACAUUCUGUUUGCUAACAAAGUGCCCACCAACGUUUAUCAUCUGACCUCCCAUCUGACCGCCGAGGGAGGGAACAAACUUCUGAAGGCCCUCACCAUUGACUCACUGCUGAAGACAUCCGGGUUGUUCUCGUAGAUGAACUUCUCUACUCUCUGUUGUCUCAUCCUGAACAUCUUGGAGCCUCGGUUCUUCAUCAGGGAAAGCUCCUCCAGCAUGAUGUCUUUGGGAGUCCUGAUCUUUGUUCCCAGGUCAAACUCAGAUGCCUCUGGCUCAGACUCAUACUCUAGGUAAGGGACAUCCAAAAAAUGGCCAGAGCAAUUAUUUAGUCUUCUAGAAGGUUUAGGUCUUUCUAAAUCAUAACGUAGUGAAGUUAGGUUAAUUGAUCUGGGACACGAUCAUUGAAAUAUUUGUUUAGUCAUAGCUGUCAAGGAAAAAUGUUUUCGCAAAUGCCAAUGCUUUUUUAAAAAAAAUUGCAGUAGUAACAUACAAAUGCGAAAAAAGUUGCAAAAAAAAACUUUAUUGCUUUACUCAUAACAUUAUGUAAUAAAAAAGAUUUAAACUA